UACGAAGGGGGCGAGCGUUGUUCGGAUUUACUGGGCGUAAAGGGCGCGUAGGCGGCGCGAGAAGUCGAGUGUGAAAGCCCCGGGCUCAACCUGGGAAUUGCGCUCGAUACUCUUGUGCUUGAGUACUUAAGAGGAUCGCGGAAUUCCCGGUGUAGAGGUGAAAUUCGUAGAUAUCGGGAGGAACACCAGUGGCGAAGGCGGCGAUCUGGGAAGAUACUGACGCUGAGGAGCGAAAGCGUGGGGAGCGAACAGG
rnacentral:rRNA from 1 species